AGGAUGGAGGCAGGUCCUAAUGAAAGAUGCACAGCUACAAGUGGGAAGGAGAAGGGUACCUGAAAUCAGACUCCAGGAGUUGGAUUUCUGCACAGCAGUUGUAGAGAUUGUGCAGAUCUAGGGAUUAUUCAUGUCUAGUGAGGAUGAAAUUAGUUGCCAGAUGACAGUGGAGAAACAAUUUAUUUCGGUGUCAGGGAUCAUCUAAAUUACCAUCCAUUUUGGCUGUUGCAUAUCACAAUAGAAAAAAAAAACAUAAUGGCUGUGGAUCUCUGCGAUUGUUUGUGGAAGGCCAGGGGAUUAGAGCAUAUGUUUCCAGAGAUGCUGCUCUGUACUCCAAAAGAAUGUGUAUUUUAUUACUUGUGCAGGUGUUCCUCCUGCAGUGAAAAAGUUGUCUGAAUUCUGGUAUAAAUUUUGUUGCUUUUA